AGAGGAUACCACGUGGUGGGGCAGCAAGUAUGCUAGCCCAUGUCUCUCUUCUUCCCCCUCCUUCUCCUCAUCGUCAUCUUCCUCCUCCUUCUCUUCCUCUUCUUCCUCCUUCUCCUCUUCUUCCUCCAGGGAGCAGAAGUUCUCACUGAGUCACUGGGUCCAUGAAUCCAUAACCCAGACUUCGAUAACAUAACUAACAAAAGCAAUCUAAGAAAGCGUUUGUCCUGGCUCGCAAUUUUCAAGGACAGCCCAUCAUGGCAAGGAGCCUGAAGAAAGCUGGUCACACUGAUCCACAGACAGGAAGUGGUAUGUGGAUACUCUGAAAGGAAGAUGAGUGCCUAUUUACACAGCAUGAGAAUUCUACAAAUGUCUGGCUGAAAAAAAUGCCAAAGCUUCAAGCCACACCUACUGGUACAUACCUGGAAUCCCAGCACUUGAGAGACUGAAGCAGGAGGAUUGUUGCAUGUUCAAGGCCAGCCUGGUCUACAGAGUGAACUCAAAGCCAGCCUGAAGUACAUAGCAAUACUCCAUCUCCAAAACCAAAGACAACAACAACAAAAAUUAAACAAGAUUGCCUUGUCUGGCUCCAGACGCCAUCACCACAGAGAGAACCCUUGUUCUGAGGCUUGUGUGCCCAAGACCUAACCCUAACUCUCAAGUCAAUAUUUUUCCU